rnacentral:lncRNA from 1 species
GGCAGAAAAUGUGCACCCCCAAUGCCCAGCAAACUGUGGGCCCUGCAGAUGUGUGCUGGGCUAUGAACAAGGGUUUGGGGGAGGUUGAAUGAUUAUAAUUGCCAAGUGAGGGGAAGAUGGAUCGGAUUCUGGUGCAGAGAGGAAGGUUGAGAGAAAUGGAGGAAGGUGAAACCAACAAGAAGUGUCCAGACACGCUAGCAGGAUUUCAGCAUACAGAGCUAACAAGAUGCAGGGGUGAGAUACACAUACAAGCUGGAGAGAAUGGGGGCAUGGGCAAAGGUGGGGGGCCAGAGAGGCUUGGAGUAGAGAGGGAAGAGUGGGAAGUUCAGUCAGAUGCAAGCCCUGGAGAUGAGCAAGGGAGUUGAGAGGUGGGGACGUGGCCCCUAACAUGAGUACAUGUCAGGUGUGUUAUUUCCCUGCAUUGACUGCCCUCCUUCUCCUUCCUCCAGGACAAACCCUCCAUCCCCACUGGCCCUGCUCAAACUCCGCCUCCUCCAGGAAGCUUUCCCUGAACUGCUCAACCGGCAAUGAACUUCUUCCUCCCUUCUCUAAUUUCUAUAGCACACCUCAGCCAUCAGUUCACAGCCACCACAAGGUGUGCACAGGCAUCUCACAAGUUUGCAGAAACGCCUUCGUAGACUGUGUUCUUCUGGAAGAAAGAUCACUUUGUACACAUGUACCUCCCUGCAGUGUGGCUUAACCCAGGUCCAGGCACACCAAGACUUCAGGAGGGGCCCACAGACUCAGAGGGAGGCUGGCGUGGGAGCAGGACAAACCAUCCAGCCCCACACCCACCCCAGCCCCUAUCCAUGACUCCACCAACCAGGACUCUGCCUGCCUUCCCAGCCCUUGGCACAGGAACCCCAGCUUCUAGCACCUUCUCCAAGGCUCCUGCACCCUGCCUGGAAGGCAGACCCUUGCCCCCAACCUCCUCCCAGAACUCCUCAGUUCCCCACACCACCAGCCUUCCACAGCUGAAGGCCAUAGCUCAUUAAAGCCAGACGUGUAGUGCCCUGUGCCACAUUUCCUGGGCCUCAGCACUUCCACAGAGCCCCACUGCCAGGAGGCCACACAUUCAGCCCCAGGGGCAACCUGUCUGGUCAGGGAGGCUAAAAGCGGCCCUAUCACAGCGAAUGAGCAAGCCCACUUUUACAAAACCAGAGUGGAGCCAUGGGGGCAUGGGGAGAAGAGGCAGGGAGUGCUGGGCAGGGCUCCCAUCUUGGUCCUUCCUACUGAGGAGGGAAGUGGGAAAGUGGGCUCAGGCUUCCACUGUCAGUGGGGAUGGUGGGGGUGGCCUCCAAAGAGGACACCUGCCUGUGCAGAAGCCAGAGCCAGUCCUGGGCCCCUGAGUCAGCAGCACAGACGCAGAAAGAAAACAUGCUAACUUGUUAACUGAGUAACUUGUAAUGGGGACAAACAUUCACAUUACAAAAUAAUCUCCAUUUGGCAAAAGGGCCUCUUUAGGAAUUAACAAACUCCUCUUUGAACAUGUAAGUAAGUGUCCUAGAAGAGCUAAGCGAGGCUGUUCCCUGGAAUCACACUACCCAGGUGUUAGUCAUUCACCCCUUAGUGUGAAUCAGCUUGAUCAGGCUGCUUUCCUGCUGCCUUCUGCUAGAAUUCAACUUUCUGAAAAAAUAGAUCUGUUUGGGAAGUGAUGCAGGCUGGGUCAUUUUGGAACACAGAGCACAAUACGAGUCUUGGAAGCAGUGGGGAGAGAAAGAGGAAUUGUUCAGCCAGAGGGCCAAGUAAGGAGACAAAGAAAAGCUGGGGGUCACAGUGGGAGGCUCAGGAGGGCAGAGUCCAGGGGCGGGAGCAGCCCCCCAGGCGUGGGCACUGGAUUUGCUUGCUGGGGCUGCCGCAACAAUGCCACACAGACAGAGCUGCUUAAACAGCAGACGUGCACGGCCUCUUGCCUCCUGCCGUGUCCGGUGUCCCCGCUUUCCAAGGACACCUGUCACAUUGGAUUAGGGGCCCACCUGACUUCACUAUGACCUUGCCUUAACUAACUACAUCUUCGGGGUGAAACUGAGGCAGAGGAGACCUCAGCCCCAACCAGCCGAGUAACCCUGAGCAAGCCAUUGUCCUGUGUGACCUCAGGUGAUUCACCUGUGGCACGGAUGGCCCGGGGAUGGUGGCUGAUGGUCUCUUCCACCUGCCUCCCAGCACAUUCAGAUGGUCCAGUGAGGACCUCCUGCAUCUGUGAGGUGCAGGCCCCCUGGGCAGUGGCUUUUCCACGGCUGUCAGCAAUGCUCACGUGACUAGACAUCAGAGGCUCUUCCAUCCCUGCUCGAUAAGGCAUGGGGCCUUGUUACCAGCACUCCCAAGCCCCAGGGAGUGAGCUAGGGCACAAAAGUAAUAACGGACACCAAGAGGUCUAGAGACUCCUUAAACAGGUGAGCCUACAAGACUACACAGCCAAGACCUCUACUGUAUUAAGCCUGUUUUCGCACUGCUAUAAAGAACUGCCCGAGACUGGGUAAUUUGUAAGUAAAAUAGAUUUAAUUGACUCACAGUUGCCGCAUGGCUGGGAGGCCUCAGGAAACUUACAAUCAUGGCGGAAGGCGAAAGGGAAGCAGGCACACCUCACAUGGUCGCAGGUGAGAAGGAGAGAGGGGAACUGCCAAACACUUUUAAACCAUCAGAUCUCGUGAGAAC